AGCGAACGCUGGCGGCAGGCCUAACACAUGCAAGUCGAACGAAGUCUUCGGACUUAGUGGCGGACGGGUGAGUAACACGUGGGAACGUGCCCUUUGGUACGGAAUAACUCAGGGAAACUUGAGCUAAUACCGUAUGUGCCCUUCGGGGGAAAGAUUUAUCGCCAUUGGAGCGGCCCGGGUCUGAUUAGCUAGUUGGUGAGGUAAAGGCUCACCAAGGCGACGAUCAGUAGCUGGUCUGAGAGGAUGAUCAGCCACAUUGGGACGGAGACACGGCCCAAACUCCUACGGGAGGCAGCAGUGGGGAAUCUUGCGCAAUGGGCGAAAGCCUGACGCAGCCAUGCCGCGUGAAUGAUGAAGGUCUUAGGAUUGUAAAAUUCUUUCACCGGGGACGAUAAUGACGGUACCCGGAGAAGAAGCCCCGGCUAACUUCGUGCCAGCAGCCGCCGUAACAC
rnacentral:rRNA from 1 species